rnacentral:pre_miRNA from 10 species
GGUUCUAGAAAAGAGGUUACCCGUGUUUCUUCGCUCUAUUCACGACGAAGAAUACGGGUGCACUUCUGUUUGAGUAUC